rnacentral:ncRNA from 2 species
GCAAGUGAGUCGGGAGAACCGGAGCUAUCCGGUGCCGAAGGAGCAACCGCCCCGGAAACUCUCAGGCCUCAGGGACCGACGCACUUAA